GUGACUCUUUAUUGUAAUCUAAAUAUCAACUGUCUGGGUCAUCACAUUGUGACAACACUGAAAAGUAACAAUUACCCAUUAUUAUGCUUUUCAAUUUCCAGUUCUCAAAAGUGAAUGGCUCUGUGUUCACUCUGUACUUUGGCAUGAAGCUCAUUGUGAUAUUGCAUGGAUAUGCAGCAACAAAAGAAGGCUUGAUUGAUCACGGAGAGGAGUUUACUAAAAGAGGAAGCUUCCCAGUAGCUGAAAAAAUUAAUAAAGGCCUUGGAAUUGCUUUUAGCCAUGGAAAUAGAUGGAAAGAAAUAAGACGCUUUACACUCAUGACCUUGCAGAAUUUGGGCAUGGGGAAAAAGAGCAUUGAGGACCGUGUUCAAGAGGAAACACAGUGCCUUGUGGAGGAACUGAGGAAAACCAAUGGUGAUCAUACUUUCCUGUUUUGACUUUUCCAUCCUGAUACAGGUUAGAGUCCAAUGGAUCUACUGGUAUUAUUCUAUUCAAAAUGAUGUUUUCUCUGUUGCUUUUGAAUCAGGUAUCAUGAACACAGCAUUUAUUUUAAUUUUCUGAUAAGUUACAUCCUUAGAACAAAGAUACUUUAUUUAUUGCUAGUCAUUUUACCACAGAUCAGUUGUUAUUGAAAAUGGUGGCAGUGACUUCAUCUACAUUUAAAGAUUCCAAACCAGAUGUUAUUUCUUUUCAUUUUCUUGAACUACUUUCAUCUCCCCAAAUUCACUGAUGUGACAAUAUGUCUUGAAUGCUCAUUUUCAUAGUCCUGGGUACUUAUGAGUCAAAGUAUAUUUUCAUUCCUUAGCUGUAUUUAAUAGAAUUUCGUCAUGAUAUGAAAAAUUAUCAUAAUUUCAUUUUAUGAUGAUUUGUAUGCUUUAAGAAUUUACACAUGAAAGUAUUAAUCUUCAAACACAAAGAACUUAAUAAAAUGACUUGUUUAAGUAACCUUGAAUUGUUUUCAUUAACAACAUCUCAUUUUUGCUAAGUAUAUUACAUAUCUGUCUUCUGUUGUGUAAACCAUUUCUCUCUGUAUUCGUUGUUUUGGCUUAGGUGAUGAACAGAUCUUCAAUUGCUAUGUGAAUGCUACUCACUCCUGAAAUACCUUUCACAGAACAGUCAACUUAUCUGCUUAAAUUAUGAAGAAACUUGUCUUUAAGUACUUUCUCCAAAAUAAAAUGAAGACUGAAAAUCAUAUUUUAGUGAAGUUUAAAAUUUCUCCAGGGAUUUUUCCCAUUAACAAAGAUAAAGUGCCCUCUUGGUAUAUUUUAAUAACAUAUUACAAUUG
rnacentral:lncRNA from 1 species